CCCUUAGAUGUUCGGGGCCGCACGCGCGCUACACUGAAGGAAUCAGCACGUCUUUCUCCUUGUCCGAAAGGACUGGGUAACCCGCUGAACCUCCUUCGUGCUAGGGAUUGGGGCUUGUAAUUCUUCCCCAUGAACGAGGAAUUCCCAGUAAGCGCGAGUCAUAAGCUCGCGUUGAUUACGUCCCUGCCCUUUGUACACACUGCCCGUCGCUACUACCGAUUGGAUGGUUUAGUGAGAUCCUCGGAUUGGUCCCGGAGCGGCCUCUGGUCGUGCCGGAGUGCCGAAAAGAAUGUCGAACUUGAUCAUCUAGAGGAAGUAAAAGUCGUAACA
rnacentral:rRNA from 1 species